GUGGGGAAUUUUGGACAAUGGGCGCAAGCCUGAUCCAGCAAUGCCGCGUGCAGGAAGAAGGCCUUCGGGUUGUAAACUGCUUUUGUACGGAACGAAACGGCUCUGGUUAAUACCCGGGGCUAAUGACGGUACCGUAAGAAUAAGCACCGGCUAACUACGUGCCAGCAGCCGCGGUAAUACGUAGGGUGCAAGCGUUAAUCGGAAUUACUGGGCGUAAAGCGUGCGCAGGCGGUUUUGUAAGACAGGCGUGAAAUCCCCGGGCUCAACCUGGGAAUGGCGCUUGUGACUGCAAAGCUGGAGUGCGGCAGAGGGGGAUGGAAUUCCGCGUGUAGCAGUGAAAUGCGUAGAUAUGCGGAGGAACACCGAUGGCGAAGGCAAUCCCCUGGGCCUGCACUGACGCUCAUGCACGAAAGCGUGGGGAGCAAACAGGAUUAGAAACCCUAGUAGUCC
rnacentral:rRNA from 1 species